rnacentral:rRNA from 1 species
UACAGAGGUCUCAAGCGUUGUUCGGAUUCAUUGGGCGUAAAGGGUGCGUAGGUGGUGCCGUAAGUUGGGUGUGAAAUCCCGGAGCUUAACUCCGGAACUGCAUUCAAUACUGCGGUGCUCGAGUACUGGAGAGGAGAUUGGAAUUCACGGUGUAGCAGUGAAAUGCGUAGAUAUCGUGAGGAAGACCAGUGGCGAAGGCGGAUCUCUGGACAGUUACUGACACUGAGGCACGAAGGCCAGGGGAGCAAACGGG